GAACAGAGCGGGCGGAGAAAUGGUCGAGAGGGGCCAGGCUGAGCCUCUGUAGAGGCUGCUUCUGCACAAGAUUGUGGACGUGGAGCCGCAGCUCAGGCAGAGCCGGGAAGCUGCAUGGUGGCCUUGGGUGAGCCCGGGGCUUCUCAGGCUCCAGGUCUCCUCCAAGUUACCUUGGGUUGCACUUUGCAAACAGUUUAUCUUGGAAGUUUAGUAGGAAGGAGACUGCUCAAAACUAUGCAUCCAGGAGACUUCACUGACUCUUAAAAAAGACAACACCCUCCAUUGUUUGCAUCGACGUCUACCCCGGGACGAAGUCAGAUCAUCUGGAACACGUGUAGCUGUACCAAACCUCACAUCCCCAGCCUCACAACUAACUGCAUUUCCCAUUAGGCGCACUCUGCUGUGCCCCACGAUGAACGUAAGAAACAAAGCUCACAGCUGCGCCUGCUGCAGAGACGCCUCUGAGUGCUUUGCCCGUUGCCUUAUCCCUUGUCCUCUUUGUGUGUGCGUGUGUUGGGGGAGAAGCUAAGGAGACAUUUCUUUCUGUUCUCUGGGACAUCAGGAAUGCUGGUGUUUCUCCUAGGCAAGUAGCUUGCUUUAAUCUCAAGGAUCCUGGCAGUUGUGCAGCUGAUCGUGUUUCAUCUUGGCACUGGCUGUUAGAGGUUUUAGAGCCAAAUUUGUGGCCCACCCCUAGCAAAUGGAUCAAAGUUUAUGGGUCAUCAUUAUUCCACAAGGCCAGCCAAACAGAUCAACUGUGAAUGAAGCUCAGCAUGAAUUCCCCAAAGGAUGGAGAGACAAAAAAGAAAAAAAUAAGGACACAAAGUCAGGUGAUGCUAAGGGCUGUGAUGAAGAUAAAGCAGGGCAGGGGGACUAGGGUGCUGAUAUAGCUUGGCCAGAGGUGAUCUGACUGCGAGGGGAUUUUUGAGUUGAGCUCAAGGAAAAGAAAGAGGUAAUCUGGUAUCCAUGGUAGAGGAGCAUCCCAAGCCAAGCACCUGGCUAGUGCAAAGCUUUGUGGCAAGUUGAAGGUAUUGGAGGGACUCAAGUGAGCUGAUGUGCCCAGAGCUGAGCAGUGAGGAGAGUGUCAGGAAACUGAAAGCAGGGCCUUGACCUGGAGCCAUGGUAAAGACUUGAUAAUCUUCUGAGAGGCGAAGACCGGUGGGUCUGGGCAGAAGUGUGACAUGAUCUGAUUUAAGUUGCAGCACAAUCAGCGCGAUGAUCAGGUCAAGGCUGAAGCAGGGUGAGGAGCUAGGAGGUCUGUAGGAGAGCUGUGAACAUUGAACUACAAUAGCAGUGAGAGAAGAGCUGCCUGAGUGCCGUACUCCUGCUGGACCAUCAUGAUGCAGCUCCAGGAUGGCACUUCUCACCUCCAAAAGAUGCACUGAAAUGACCAAUGAGAACAAGAGUUAGGAAAAGUCCAUAAAAACACUGAUAAUCAGAGGAGGCUGCUAUGAAAAGAGAAGGCAUUUAUAGAGAUUUCUGGAAGAAAUGAAGCAGAUAAUUCCAUCUAAAAAUUAACAACAAAGAAAACAGUAUAUCAGGACUUAUGAGGUGAAGCCAAAUCUGUACUCAGAGUAAAAUUCAUUGUCUUAAUUAUUUUAUUAAAAAUAAAAGAUUGGAAGGGACAGUCCGAGAGUUUUGUUUCAAAAAGUAGAAAAGAAACAAUAAAACAUCAAAAAAUAAAAGUAGGAGAAAGAAAUUGGUGCAUUAGAAAGAAAAAAAAAAAGAAAAGAAUUGACAUAAAAAGGCAAAACACAACUCUAUUGAUUUACCUUGUCAGUAAUAUUUUUUGCCUGCCAAACUUGCGCCAGGUACCGCACAAAGCCCAUGCGGAUCCUGAGAUGAACAGAGCAGA